ACCACAUUUCUUGAAAAGAGAGUUUGUCAAGUCAUCCUUUAUUGCAGGAAAACCAGCAGCGGCUCCUUUAAGCCACUCACAGGCAGCACGUCUAUCAGGUGUAGUAGGUACUGAUGAUACCAGUGCACGGACGCCAUUACAACAUUCAGUUGGAGGUGCAUCACCACCUUGACCAAUGAUGUAAUUUAAGCAUGGAGCUAUUUGAUUUGUUGCAUCAUUACAACUAAAGGUUUGUCCUGGCUCCACUAUCAUGAGCAUUAUAGCUACCAAAGCUAGAAAUCCUACAAAUACAUUCUUCAUCUUAUAUGCUUAAUGAAUUUCUUUGUCUAUUAAUGAAAGAUAUGUGAGGAUACUGAAAGUUGUGCUCCCAUAUAUAGUUGCAGAUAUAAGAUAUAAUGAGUAUUGGUGAUUUAAAAAUAAAGUAAUUCAUUAGUUUUUGUAUAUUUUAAUAUAAUGUAUUAUUAAUUAUUUUACAGUAUUAUUUAUUAAAAAUAAUAUUAUAAUAUUAUUUUACAUAUUUAAUAUAUUAUUUUAUCAAAUGAUUACUAUUUUAUAUUUAUCUAUUAAAACGAACAAUACAGUAGCUUUAAAGUUGUGGAUCCCAUAAGACAAGACAAGCAAACACAAAGGGAACACCAAUUAAUAUAAAAACUUAAAUUCUCUUAUAUAUGUAACAAAUAACAUAUAAUCUACCAAUUCGUAAUUCGAUUUCAUCAAAUAGCAUCAACACGUAGAAAAGUAUAGGGGGCUAAAGGAAAGAAGUCUCAAUCUAAAUGUUUUGACAAUUAUUUUACACUCAUUAAUUAUUUAUUAAUGUUGUUUUCAUUUAUAUUCCAAAGAUUUAUAAUUGUGUGGUACCUAAGAAUCAAGUCUUAGGUUAAGACUCUCUUAAGACGAAGGAUGUGAAUUCCUAAAAAAAGGUAAUAAGUAUGACACAUAAAAAAUAUCAGCAGCUUUUAUGUGCUCAGUCAUAUGGCUUGCUUCAAUUUUCCAAUGAAUCCUAGGAUGAGCACAAUCGAACACAUGUAGAUGUGUGUCGCUCACUAAAAGUGAACUAAUUACACUCAUUCAGACCUGCAUGGAUUUGUGAGUGACAUUUCACGUCAGUACAACAACUCAGUUAUAGGGAUAUAUAUAUAUAUAUGCAUCAUUUUUUAUAUGCUACUUCUAUUCAAUUUAAUAUAUUGAAAUAUAAAUAAUAAUAAAAAUAAGUUUCUAAUUCAAUAAUAAGUAACCACUUCAAAAAUAAAACAAAUAUGAACAUAUUCUUAAUGAUCAUGUUACCUAAUUUGGGAGUAAAAAAGUAUUGUUCUUGUUUUGACCCAAAAAGAUGUAAUGUUGAUUCCAAAUUAUUUGGUAGAAAUCUAAAUUAUAGUAUACCAUUCCUCAAGCCAUAUAAUCAAUUAUUCAUCCUAAAUCGGGCCACCAAAGACUUAUGUUAAUAAGAAAGUCAUAUAGCAUCAUUUAUUAUUUAUUGGUGCUUUAAUUAUUUAGGUUUUGUAUAUUUUAAUAUAAUAUAAUAUAAUAAUAUUAUUUAUUAAAAAUAACAUUAUAAUAUUAUUUUACAUCUUUAAUAUAUUCUUUUAUUCAAAUGAUUAUGUUUGUUGAAUUUAUCUAUAAAAAGGAACAAUACAAUAGUUUUAAAAUUCUGGAUCCCAAAAGACAGGACGAGUAAACACAAAGGAAACAUAAAUUAGUAUAAAAAAUUUAAAUGCUCUUACGGAUAUAAAAAAUGACAUAUAAUUUAUCCUAGUUGUUCACCAAAAGUAUCAAAUAGCACAAUCAUGUAGAGAAGUAUAUAUGGGGCUAAAAUAAAGUGUCAAGGAUAGCACUAGUAAUACUUUGCCUAUAUUUUGAUGAAGACAAGGUUCUAUUAAAGCUUGAAGAUGGCUCAACAAUCAACAUGUCUAGAGCUUAUUGGUCAUAUCUANGUGUGUCAUUUUUGAUACGCCACUUCUAUUCAAUUUAAUAUAUCGAAAUAUAAAUAAUAAUAAUAACAAUAACUUUCUAAUUCAAAUAUAUGUAACCAUUUCAAAAAUAAAAGAAAUAUGAACAUGUUCUUAAUAAUCAUGUUACCUAAUUUGGGAGUAAAAAAGUGUUUUUCAUGUUUUGACCCAAAAAGACGUAAUAUUAUUUCCAAAUUAUUUAGUAGAGAUUUAAAUUACAAUAUACCACUCUCCAAGCCAUGUAAUACAUUAUACAUCCAAAAUCGGGUCGCAAAAUACUUAUGUUAAUAAGAAUGUCAUAUAGCAUCAUUUUUAUUUAAUGGUUCUUUAAUGAUUUAGGUUUUAUAUAUUUUAAUACUAUAUAAUAUAAUAAUAUUAUUUAUUAAAAAUAACAUUAUAAUAUUCUUUUGCAUAUUUAAUAUAUUAUUUUAUUUUAUGAUUAUUUUUGUUGUAUUUAUCUAUAAAAAGGAACAAUACAAUAGUUUUAAAGUUGUGGAUCCCAUAAGACAUGACGAGCAAACACAAAUUAAUAUAUAAAAAAUUAAAUACUCUUAAGGAUAUAACAAAUAACAUAUAAUCUAUUCAAGUUGUUCUCCGAAAGCAUCAAAUAGCAUCAGCAUGUAGAGAAGUAUAUAAAUGGCUAAAACAAAGAAGAUUCAAUCUAAAUAUUUUAACAAUUAUUUUACACUUAUUAAUUAUUUACUGAUAUUGUUUUCAUCUAUAUUCCAAAAAUUUAUAACCAUGUGGUACCUAAGACUCAACUUUUAAGUUUAACAGGAAGGAUGGUGAAUUCCGAAAAAAAGUUAAUAAGUAUAAGAUAUAAAAAAUAUCAUUAUUGUUUUCUCUAAGUUUCCUUUUAUAUUUUAUACCGUAAGAACUUCUAGAAAUAUCUUGAAAAUGUAUUCUUUUUUAUUAAAAUAUAAUUAUUUUACAAUCAACAAUUUUUUACUAUCAUAUAAAAAAUUUCAUAAUCAAUGUUUAGACAAAUAUUCAAAGAUUGUAGUGAGGUUAAUUUUUUUUUUAAACCAAAAGUGCUAACACAACCAAUAUAUAAUGAAAGCUAACCAAAGUUGAAGGAGAAGCCACAAAGUUGCAAAUUACGGAACCUAUAGUUAGGAAGUAAAUUCCUAUUUCUAUUGAAUUCCUCGUAUAAGAAGCUAGAUAUGCUAUUACACCAAGAAUCAGUUCUAAAAUUAACUCUAAAUGUGGAUAGCUUAUCCACACAAGCAUUGCCUUCUUUAAAAAUAUGGCUAACCAUAAUUUGCAUAGGAUCCAUAACCUCUCUGCAUUUGUUUAUGAAGCUACUUAAUUUAUAUCCAAAUGCUAACAAUAAUUUCUCCAUAAUUUAGUUUUGCAUUUAUUCACUAAUUUUUGUGGUGAUUUGGAACAGUUGUAAUUUUGAAGUCUGUGUUUAAGGGAUGGUACAAAAGAAUUGUAUUAAAUAUUUUAUGUUUGGCAGCGUUUUUCAAUCGUCACUAAAGUGUUACUUAAAUUACUUAAUGUUUUAUAUUGCAGUCAUCAGUUACUUAAAUUCGUUUAGAUAAUGUUUUGUACUUGCACAUACUGCUUUUAUUAUUUUCUUUAACUACAGCAAAUUUUUAUUUUUGGAGUCAUUAAUGAUUGAUUUUUAUAUAGUUAACUUGAAUAAAGAUGGGACAUCUUAUUUUGUCAUGCUAUGGUAAGAUUGUUACUUCUGUAAGUGAAUUUAAAGUUUAACGGAUAAUGUAAUGGUCUGAUGGACAUUAAGAAGCUGUGUAAAUAAUAUUAUAAAAAUACUUGGAUAUAGGUUAUGUUUGGUAAAGCUCUAAGGAACUUAUAAGCCCGUCAACAAAAUUAUGUAAUUAGAAAUUAAGUUAAUUGAUUUUGCAGACUAAAAAGUUUUUAAAUUCACAAAAUACAUAUUUGAUAAGUCAGUUGGAGGUUACUUCAUAAUCCAUAUUUCAUAAGCCACUUGGAUGUGACUUAUGACUUAUAAAUCAGAACCUUAUUUUAAUUAACUUGUACUAUGUAAUUAUAAGUUAAUUUUACAAAAAUAAUAAUAUUGUUUUACCAAUUAGAUUAAAGUCUCAUAAUUUUUUGUGCCUAGCUUUUAAGUUCUCAACUGACUUAUAAGUUCUCAGCAGAAUAUUAAUUAUUUAUGAGAGAUAUAGUCAAACUUGUGUUGUUUUACAAUCUUUAAGUUUGGCACAAUUAUCGAUAGAGUUUAAUAAAUAUGUAUCAAUAAUGUAUAGUUUUAUUUACAUUAUUAACAAAUCAUCAAUCAUUUAUAUAUAAUACUUUUAUUAAAGAGUCAAUCAUUAUAAAUAUCUAUAAUCCUAGCACUUGAGGUGAUAACUGAAAAAAUGGAAGGUGUGUUAUUAACGAGUUUCUGUACAUAACAAAACACAAGUUGUGCGGAUCAGAUCUUAAUGCAUCACUUCAGCUUGAUACAUCAUAGCACUUGGCACUUAUUUUGUUUUAUGAUGUUUCCCUUUGUUUGUAGUUUAGUUAGUUAUUUACGUCCCUCACACAAAUGUUUACGCAACUACUUAUUAUACCAUUUGUUUUUAUUAUGGAACACAGAAUGAAAGCAUGUAGUACAUAUAGAUUUUCUUAUGCGAUAUAUUUUUUGUUCUUUUUAGUAUAUUAUAUACCCAAAUUAGUCACCCACUUUGAAUUUUAACAAGAUUUAGCUUAGUGAUGCAUUAUGUCAAUUAUAAAAUUCAACUUGAAUCUUUACACGUACAAUAAAUUUUGGUUAUGUUGUAACAAAUAUUUCACAGAUCUUUUGUUCAUGCUUUAUAUAUAUUAUUAUCCAAUCUUUCGUAGAUUAGCUACUUGGUUUUCCUCGUUAUUUACCCCCUCACACAAAUGCAUACACACCAACAUUAUACCAUUUGUUUUUAUUAUGGAUCACAAAAUGAAAUGAUGCCAUACAUAUACAAUUUACUUAUGAGAUAUACUAUUUCUUCUCUCGAUUCUAUAUAUGCGAAGUUGUUCAUCCAUCCCUAAUUUUAACAUGUAAUUUAAUUUAUUGGUGAAUGAGAAAAUGACGUAUGAUAUCAAUCAUAAAUUUCAAUUUGAAUCCUCCCUAACACAACCAAUUGUGGUUAUGUUGUGACAAAUAUCUUCAGAUAUCUUUUGUUCAUUAUUUGUAUUAAUAAAGAUUAUUGCAAGAUUAACAAAAUACAAACUAUGUAAAAAAUAAAUUAGAUAUCCAUUUAUUAUUACUACUAUCAUCAACUUUAACAACAUUGAAGUAAGGAUAUCUCAUUUAUUUAAUAAACUUAUUUCUUCAUUGCUUUGAGCUCAUGGGAUGCUGUACAAAAACAAACCAAAAAUAUCAGUAAGUACGGUAAUAAAAAAGUAACAAAGAUCUAUUAACUAUUUGGCUAAACAGAAAGGAUAAACAAUCAAAUUAGUCUAGUGUUACUUGUAACCCUUUUGAAGUUUUGUGUCAAUAAUUAAGUUCAUAAAGUUGUAAUAUAAAUUGAUGUAAUUAGUUGGAGUGUUAAGUCAUCAAAAUAACAACGUGAGAUAAUGGCUGACCCCGUGGUAGGAUCUCUAAUGCCAUUUAUUUUUCUCCUCGUAAUAUUUUAAGCCCCAUAUUUUUCAAUAUUUAAAUAUAGUAUAAAAUUAUGAAAUAAAAUAUAAAUAAUCGAAAACAUGUUUAUUUUUAAAUAAUAUUUUUCUUUAAUCUUGUGUUAUUUUGACUUUCAAAAUUCUUAUUGAUUUUUGAAUUAUAUAACAAAAAUGUUUUAGUUAACGAAAUGUUAUUUUAUGUUAAUAAAGAUUGAUUAACUUCAUAAAAGUUUAACUCAUAUCUCAAAAAAUUAUUAUACUUACACGACAUUAUUAUGUUUGGUGAAACUUGAGAUUUAACCCAUCACGACAUUAUUAUACUUACACGGAAUGAUAAUUUUUAAUUAAAUAUCUUCCUUUAGGCCACAAUUGUGAUGAACUUAUAAAUAUUUGAAGAAAUGAGAUAGCUUGUCAAAUUAAGGAUUUAUUCAUUAAUGAAAUAAGGAAGAAAAUAAAAAUGAGGGACUUUAUGUUUGUAGAAAUGUAGACUUACGUUUGACAGUUUAUGUCCUUAGAGAUGGAGAAUUCUACACUAACACCACAUUUCUUGAAAAGAGAGUUUGCCAAGUCAUCCUUUAUUGCAGGAAAACCAACAGCGGCUCCUUUAAGGCACUCACAGGCAGCACGUCUAUCAGGUGUAGUAGGUACUGAUGAUACCAGUGCACGGACGCCAUUACAACAUUCAGUUGGAGGUGCAUCACCACCUUGACCAAUGAUGUAAUUUAAGCAUGGAGCUAUUUGAUUUGUUGCAUCAUUACAACUAAAGGUUUGUCCUGGCUCCACUAUCAUGAGCAUUAUAGCUACCAAAGCUAGAAAUCCUACAAAUACAUUCUUCAUCUUAUAUGCUUAAUGAAUU
rnacentral:lncRNA from 1 species